ACUGAAACAUCUAAGUACCCCGAGGAAAAGAAAUCAACCGAGAUUCUGUGAGUAGCGGCGAGCGAAAGUGGAAGAGCCAGUUAGUUUUAGCAUUUGUAUUAAGAGAAUGAGUUGGGAAACUCAAUCAUAGAGGGUGAUAAUCCCGUAUCUGAAAAUGCAAUUGUGGAACUAAGCUAACGAUAAGUAGGGCGGGACACGUGAUAUCCUGUUUGAAGAUGGGGGGACCAUCCUCCAAGGCUAAAUACUCCUGAUUGACCGAUAGUGAACAAGUACUGUGAAGGAAAGGUAAAAAGAACCCCUGCGAGGGGAGUGAAAUAGAACCUGAAACCGUGUACGUACAAGCAGUAGGAGCAACUUCGUGUUGUGACUGCGUACCUUUUGUAUAAUGGGUCAGCGACUUAUAUUUUGUAGCAAGGUUAACCGAAUAGGGGAGCCGUAGGGAAACCGAGUCUUAACUGGGCGUUUAGUUGCAAGGUAUAGACCCGAAACCCGGUGAUCUAGCCAUGGGCAGGUUGAAGGUUGGGUAACACUAACUGGAGGACCGAACCGACUAAUGUUGAAAAAUUAGCGGAUGACUUGUGGCUGGGGGUG
rnacentral:rRNA from 1 species